rnacentral:lncRNA from 1 species
AAAAAUAGACCCUAGGCAUCAUCUUCUAAACACCCUAAGACCUAGGAGCAGCUCUAGAUCUCUCACGAAAAAACAAAAUCAGCCGCAGGACCUCUUUAUUCUUCACCUUCUUCUCCAUCAGUACCAAACAAACACACACACGCAAGAGACCAUCUCUAGCCGUCACCUCUCAACCCCAUUCCAACCUCCAUAGGCCGCUCAAGAGCCGGAAACCCGUCGGAAAAUGACGCCCACCACCUCUGAACCCUAGUCUUGAGUCCCAGCAGCCGCUUAAACUAGUCAUCUCUCCCCAAACAUCCAAUCUCCUUCUUCCUCACCUCACAGCAGUUACCCGCCACCCCCCUUUCCUCAAAUCUUCACGAAAAAAGGGGUUUUGAGAGGCGAAAAUUCGAAGAGGAGGGAGAAGGAGAAAGGUUUCAAGUGGGAUCGUCGCUCGAGGUUCAGGUUCAAAGUUCUUUGUCCAGCUUUCACCGAAUCUCUAGAAGUUCGUUCAUCUUGUCGCUGCUUGUGUCUUGUUCGAGUUCGAAAUUUCGUCGUUUGGCACUAUAUUAUGACUGUGUAAUUGCUGAAAAUUUCAGCUAAUUGAAGCUUUAAUUUCAGGUCUGUUUUUCUUUCUUCCUUUUUACUUGUUUUGAUAUUGAAGUUCAAUGUGACUGAAUGCCCCGUUUGCUAGGUGAAAAAUGCUCUGAAUUGCUGAUUCGUUUGCUCGGCCAGUGGAUUAUUAGUUUUGGUUUGUCUAUGCUUUAUUGCCAUUAAUCUCGAUUAGCUUCGUUUGAACUGAUGGCUGAAUAGUUAACGUUUCGUUGAGGCCUAGCGGAUUCUCCUUUGGACUUAAAUCAACUUGAGUUCCUUGUACCUUGAGAUUGAAUUGACACUUCAUUUUUCCCGGAUAAACGAUCCGAAAGUGAAACUCGCUGUUUUGUUUAAUGUCUCUAAAUGCUAUUCUCCUCAUAUGUUAAUUGAGCUACCAGAUUAUCUUGUCGUCUCGUUAGAGAUAGUUUGGGACAUAAUCGCAUGUUGAAAUCAGAAAAAAUCAAUUUUCUCAUGAGAUAAGUUGCUUGUUCUUGUUUGCAGACCCGUUCUCUGUGCCGAUGUAUAGUGAAGCACGCUUUCUGAAUGUGGCCUAAGCUAG